CACACACACACGCACACACACACACACACACACACACACGUUUCCAUAGAGAGAGGUUCCACUUUGCAUUAGCAGCUCAUGCUUCAGCGCUCUGCGAGUGUUUAUAGCCCUGUGACUUUAACACUUCAUGACUGAGAGCUGCUGCUCAGCGACUUCACCCACAGCAACCAUGAGUUUGAUCAGCGUCUUCAUCUGCACACUGGCCCUCUGCGCUCGAGGAUCCAGAGGUCAGGUGACUGUGACUCAGAGUCCUGCAGUGAAAUCUGUUUCUCCAGGAGACACACUCACCAUCAGCUGUAAAACCAGUCCUGCUGUUUACCGCUAUAGUAGCUAUUACUAUUUGUCCUGGUAUCAGCAGAAAGCUGGAGAAGCUCCUAAACUCCUGAUCUAUGCAGCUAGCAGGAGAGCAUCAGGUAUUCCAGCUCGUUUCAGUGGCAGUGGAUCUGGAUCUGAUUUCACUCUGACCAUCAGUGGAGUCCAGACUGAAGAUGCUGGAGAUUAUUACUGUCAGAGUUUACAUUCUAUCAGUAGUAGCGAUGUGUUCACACAGUGUUAGAGCGUCGUACAAAAACCUGGGUGAGUGUGACUGCUGCAGCUGGGACCUACUGCAGGUGCUGAGGGGGACGAUGUGAUACAGCACAAUGAGACACACUGUGGAGGAGA